AGCAGUAGCCGCGGUAAUACGAAGGGUGCAAGCGUUAAUCGGAAUUACUGGGCGUAAAGCGCGCGUAGGUGGUUUGGUAAGAUGGAUGUGAAAUCCCCGGGCUCAACCUGGGAACUGCAUCCAUAACUGCCUGACUAGAGUACGGUAGAGGGUGGUGGAAUUUCCUGUGUAGCGGUGAAAUGCGUAGAUAUAGGAAGGAACACCAGUGGCGAAGGCGACCACCUGGACUGAUACUGACACUGAGGUGCGAAAGCGUGGGGAGCAAACAGGAUUAGAUACCCCCGUAGUCCCUGUCUCUUAUAC
rnacentral:rRNA from 1 species